GGUGGCUCAGUGUUAGAGUCCUUGCCUUGCAUGCAUGAGGCCCUGGGUUCGAUUCCUCAGCACCA
rnacentral:tRNA from 1 species